rnacentral:rRNA from 1 species
AGAGUUUGAUUCUGGCUCAGAACGAACGCUGGCGGAGUGCUUAAGACAUGCAAGUCGUACGAGAACGUCACCUUCGGGUGAUUAGUAAAGUGGCGCACGGGUGAGUAACGCGUGGGUAAUCUGCCUUCGAGUGUGGGACAACCCCGGGAAACUGGAGCUAAUACCGCAUAAGACCACGAGAUCUUCGGGUCAUGUGGGGAAAAGAUGGCCUCUUCUUGAAAGCUAUCGCUCGGAGAUGAGCCCGCGUCCCAUUAGCUUGUUGGUGAGGUAAAAGCUCACCAAGGCGACGAUGGGUAGCUGGUCUGAGAGGACGAUCAGUCACACUGGAACUGAGACACGGUCCAGACUCCUACGGGAGGCAGCAGUCGGGAAUAUUGGACAAUGGGGGCAACCCUGAUCCAGCAAUACCGCGUGUAUGAAGAAGGCCUGAGGGUUGUAAAGUACUUUCAAUUGUGAAGAAAAGUUUAAGGUUAAUAACCUUAGACCUUGACGUUAACUUUAGAAGAAGCACCGGCUAACUCCGUGCCAGCAGCCGCGGUAAUACGGAGGGUGCGAGCGUUAAUCGGAAUUACUGGGCGUAAAGCGUACGUAGGCGGUUAUUUAAGUCAGAUGUGAAAGCCCCGGGCUCAACCUGGGAACUGCAUUCGAUACUGCAAGACUAGAGUGUGGUAGAGGGAAGUGGAAUUCCGGGCGUAGCGGUGAAAUGCGUAGAUAUCCGGAGGAACACCAGUGGCGAAGGCGGCUCUCUGGACCAUCACUGACGCUGAGGCCCGAAAGCGUGGGUAGCAAACAGGAUUAGAUACCCUGGUAGUCCACGCCCUAAACGAUGGGUGUCAACUAGCCGUUGGGAGGAUUGCCUCUUGGUGGCGCAGCUAACGCGGUAAGUUGACCGCCUGGGGAGUACGGCCGCAAGGUUAAAACUCAAAUGAAUUGACGGGGGCCCGCACAAGCGGUGGAGCAUGUGGUUUAAUUCGAUGCAACGCGAAAAACCUUACCUACUCUUGACAUCCUCGGACCGCUUCAGAGAUGAAGUUUCCUCUUCGGAGGCCCUGUGACAGGUGCUGCAUGGCUGUCGUCAGCUCGUGCCGUGAGGUGUUCGGUUAAGUCCGGCAACGAGCGCAACCCCUACCCUUAAUUGCCAUCGGGUUAUGCCGGGCACUUUAGGGGGACUGCCGGUGACAAGCCGGAGGAGGGUGGGGAUGACGUCAAGUCCUCAUGGCCUUUAUGACCAGGGCUACACACGUGUUACAAUGGGAGUUACAGAGGGAAGCUAAACCGCGAGGUCAUGCCAAUCCCAGAAAAACUUUCUCAGUUCGGAUCGCAGUCUGCAACUCGACUGCGUGAAGCUGGAAUCGCUAGUAAUCGCGGAUCAGCACGCCGCGGUGAAUACGUUCCCGGGCCUUGUACACACCGCCCGUCACACCAUGGGAGCCGACAAGGGCAGAAGUCGCCGAGCUAACCUUCGGGAAGCAGGCGCCCAAGCUGUUGUUGACGACUGGGGUGAAGUCGUAACAAGGUAACC